rnacentral:rRNA from 1 species
CAAGCGGUGGAGUAUGUGGUUUAAUUCGAUGCAACGCGAAGAACCUUACCUGGUCUUGACGAUCCCGGAGACCCUUAGGAAACUAGGGGGUGCUUCCAUCUGGAAGAAUCUGGAGACAGGUGCUGCAUGGCUGUCGUCAGCUCGUGUCGUGAGAUGUUGGGUUAAGUCCCGCAACGAGCGCAACCCUUGCCUUUAGUUGCCAGCAGUUCGGCUGGGCACUCUAAAGGGACUGCCGGUGUUAAACCGGAGGAAGGUGGGGAUGACGUCAAGUCCUCAUGGCCUUUAUGACCAGGGCUACACACGUACUACAAUGGCCGAUACAAAGGGCAGCGACACUGCGAGGUGAAGCCAAUCCCGUAAAAUCGGUCUCAGUCCGGAUUGGAGUCUGCAACUCGACUCCAUGAAGUUGGAAUCGCUAGUAAUCGUGGAUCAGCAUGCCACGGUGAAUACGUUCCCGGGCCUU